UAAAAUUACAGCAAUUAAUCAUCAAUAUUAUAAACAGAAACACCUUUGCAAGCAGUCAAGAACAGUUAUGUAACUAAUAUCAACCUUCUAAAGCUAUAAACAUGUCAAGUUCGUAGGAUUUAACAAAAAAGCCAACCAUGCUUAAGUUUUCACUGUGAAAAAGACAGUUUUAGUCUUUUCCAGUUUUUGCGGCAGACUUUUUGUGGAGACUUAAAUCUGAAGAUCGGAUUUGUGGUUGGUGACGAUGACAACCUAGGACACACAUGGCAUUCGUUUCAUAACAAAAAAAAAAAAAAAACAAAACAAAACCGAAAAAGAUAAAGAAGUCAUGCAUGAAAUGAAAUCACGAACAGUACGAAUAGGAGUCAAGUUUAAAUUUUAUUCGGCUGGAAGAAUUUCAAUAUUAUUAAACUUGAUUCCAGAGCUCAGUGCAGUGUCGCGAAACAUUAGUUGUUUAAAAAAGUAUUUUGUCAGAUUCAGAUGUGUUGUACGUUGUAGGACCGACGACGAUGACGAACCUACCAACUCUGUACAAACUAUAUCCACUACAUAAUCUAUCUUUUAUUUUUUUAUAUUAUCUGCAUAUUGCAAAAUACCAAUUUAAAAAAAAGUUGCAACAUAAAGAAUAUUGCUGAAAGGGAACAUAAAUCAAUGUUGGAGAUGAUGGUUUUGGCUGCAACAGAAUGCUGUACCGGGUACCUGGUUUUACAGCUGGCUGAUCAACUGGCGGAAUAGUUGAACUUAUACAAAAUGGUUUUACAAUAGGUGAAAUCGAUCCAAAAUAAGAUGCAUUGUUUUGUAGUGGAAAACCAUUCUUAUACCUGCCGUGAAUAAAAUUCACUAUGAUUGAAAAAUAAUACUUGGUUAACAGUCUUGCCAGAAAGAAUUGUAUCAGAAAAUUCAUGUUAAUGUGAUAUGGGAUUAAGGAUAGGUAAAAAAAAAAACAGAUCCAAUUGUCGAAAUUGUCUUGCAUAAAGUUGUUUAGACCUAGAGGUCGAAUUUACUGACGAACAAUCGAACUUAUUGUUUUAUUUUGUUUUCUUUAAAUUGUAAUCAAGAGGUGAUGGAGAAGUACAAAGAAAGGUGUUUGCGUCUCUGCGCAUCUAUUUCAACACAUUUUAGUUCACUAAACUAUCCGACGGAUGUUCCUCAAAUUUGGUACGGAUGUUGAAGUACAUAGAUUGAAGCUACCCAUAGCAAUUUGACGGUGACCAACCUGAUCAUCAGACUCGUUUAAUUGUGCUAAGUCGCUUUAUGUUCAAUUAAUUUGAAAAACUUCUUCACAAGAUCAGGGAAAUCUUCACCAAUUUCAACCAUUGCAUUUUAUGAUUUUCCCUCAUGAGCUAGAGUGUAAAAGCUGCAUCAUUUUUGUAAUAGCAACAUUGGAAAUUAAGAGAUUAGAAAUC